ensembl:lncRNA
GGACGUUAAGAAACAAACCUCAAAAACAUAGAAGUGAACACAGAAUAAAUCAAGCACAAGAGUUGAGCUGCUUUGUCUAGGCAUAAGGAGCCCUCUCCUCUGUAGGAAUAUGUUGACCCUGAAUACGUCACAAUGUCACAGCAGAGUCAUAGAAAAUUUGCCUUUUCUGGGCCAAUAAAACAACUGUGAAAACGAGAUAAUUCUCUAUAGGCUUUUAAGAUACAAAGUCUGUAUGUUGUGAAGCUGUAUUGUGUCCAAAACUCACGACUUAACAUUUAUCCUUGGGUUUUCUUAUCCAUUUAUUUUUAUAUUUCAAUUUCAGGUAGUCUAUUUAGGAAAGUCUUUGUAUAAAAGUUAUUUUCCCAAGUCCUAUUUCAAGGCCAAUGUCCUUAUCUUCAUAGCAAGCAAAAUGUAAGCUUUCCCAUUUUUAAAUUGUACUACAAAAAAUAGUGUUACUCCCCAGAUUUCUGGCAUUUGUAUUUCUGGUUAUAUACAGACGUUUCUCUGAUCUCAUUGUCUGUUUUGACCAUAUGUUUGCUUAAUGCAGAGCAUAGCUUUGGAGUCAGACCAUAUAAAAACCUGACUCAGUCUUUUACAGAUUAUUUCACCUUUCUUAUUUUCUGAUUAUCUGCAAAAUGAUACUAUAUAUACAUCAUAGGAUGGAUGAGAAUAGAGACAUAAAUACCAAAAAAAAUACUAUCUUGUCUUACUUUCUUACAGAUUGUUUUUACUUAAAGAUUGAAUUUCAGCAUCUGAAACUCAGAGAAGUUAUCAAAUAACUUAGAAAAAUAGAUGAAUCCCUUUUUGUAAUAAACAGAAAAAGCAAAGUCUCAGUGACAUUAAAAAGGUAAACACUACACAAUUAUAUGUAUUAUGUUAUUUAUGGUAAUGUUUCCUAUAUCACUCAAGGAGCUGAGACUUUUGGAAAGCCUUUACUAAUUAGAAGUUGAGUCCCCUGCUAUGCGACAACCACCUCACCUCUUCAUGUAUCUUCUGUAAAAACCCGACUCCCUGGUGUAUUUAGUGUAAAUACUUCCUUAGCGUAUCAAGUGGUUGUCAAAUAAAUGUCUUGGGUUACAGUCAUUUGGAGUGCUUGACAGUCACUCGGAGUGGAGAUGCUGUGGCCUCAAUAAGACCUACUGAGUCACUAGUGAUGAGGCCCAAGAAACUACUUACAAUGAAGUCUGGUGUUUUCAGGAGCGGCCAGGUGGGAAACUCAGUUCCUCAAGCCCCAAAUCUUUAAUUGUUCCUUUUCUCUCACUCUUCACAUCCAAUCCAUCAGCAACUUCAGUGCCUUCACCCUGGUGAAAGGUAUGCUGGAUUAUCAUUGUCUCCCUCCAGGACGACUACAGUAAACUAACGGGCCUUCCCAACAACUCUUGUCCUUGUUCAAGCUGUUUUCCACCAGCUGCAAAAGCAGUGUUCUUAAAACGUAAACCACAAAGGCAAUGAUCAUCAGUGGCAUGUCAUAAGAAGAUAACCCGGGAUUCUGAAGUAUUGGACAUCACUAUAAACUAUUGCCAAAAACUCACACCUUAAUCCGGGCCUCCAGAUCAGUUUAUAAGAAAUAUAAAAUACAGGGAAAGGUCCAAUUGCAAGCAGCAAAAUGGAGAAUGUAGGAGACUAUAGGACAAAUAAUCUGGUUUCUUCAAUAAAUGAAUUGCAAGGAACCAACAACAAAAAGGGAGGGUAAGGAGCAGAAGGUUGCAUCAGAUUUAUCACCCAGUUGCACUGUAUGGGCCUUAACUGGACACCCACAGGAACAAACGUGGGAAUUACACAAAAUAAUGGAGGACAUUUGGAAUUAAUCGUUUUUUGGUAUGAUAAUUUUCUGAAGUCUUUUUGUUUUGGAGAUAUAUAUGGAAAUACUUUGUAUGAAUUGUUUUUAUCUGGGAUUUGCUCCCAAACAGUCUUGUGGGGAAGAGUUGGUGGGGUAUAGAUGAAGCAUAAUUGCUGAAGCUGGGCGGUAGAGGCUCUUUAUUCUGUUGUGUCUGUAAUUUCCUAUGAAGAAGUUGAAUAUAUUACCUUUUAUAUAUAUAUAAAACCUCAAUCCAUUGCUGUUGAAUUUAGAAUAAAAUCCAAAGCCCAUACUUAGGCCUACAAAGCCGCUGCCCACCUCUCCGUGCUGGUCUUGGAGUCUUUUACUUCCACCAAGUUCUUGCCUGCUCCAGGGCCUUUGCUCACAGCUCCCUCUGAUGGGAAUAUCCUUCCUUCCCCUCACCCCUUUCUGGCCAUCUCAGAGCCUCUUUUUUGGCUUAAUCAGCACCUUUGUAGGAGGUAUACUUUAUUUAGCAUAAUUUGUAAUUAUAUUUGUUAGGGGUUGUUUUGGUCUGUGUUUCCUACUGGUAUAUAAGAAACUAUCUU